rnacentral:rRNA from 1 species
AUUGAACGCUGGCGGCAGGCCUAACACAUGCAAGUCGAACGAGUGGCGGACGGGUGAGUAAUGUCUGGGAAACUGCCUGAUGGAGGGGGAUAACUACUGGAAACGGUAGCUAAUAACGCAUACCAUCAGAUGUGCCCAGAUGGGAUUAGCUAGUUGGUGGGGUAACGGCUCACAAAGGCGACGUUCCCUAGCUGGUCUGAGAGGAUGACCGGCCACACUGGAACUGAGACACGGCCAAGACUCCUACGGGAGGAAGCAGUGGGGAAUAUUUCACAAUGGGGGAAAGCCUGAUGAAGCCAGGCCGCGUGUUUGAAGAGGGCCUUCGGGUUGUAAGGUACUUUCAGCGGGGAGGCGUUACCCGCAGAAGAAGCACCGGCUAACUCCGUGCCAGCAGCCGCGGUAAUUC